rnacentral:rRNA from 1 species
UACGGGGGGGGCAAGCGUUGUUCGGAAUUACUGGGCGUAAAGGGCUCGUAGGUGGCCAACUAAGUCAGACGUGAAAUCCCUCGGCUUAACCGGGGAACUGCGUCUGAUACUGGAUGGCUUGAGUUUGGGAGAGGGACGCGGAAUUCCCGGUGUAGCGGUGAAAUGUGUAGAGAUCGGGAGGAACACCGGUGGCGAAGGCGGGUCUCUGGGCAAUUCCUGACGCUGAGGCGCGAAAGCGUGGGGAGCAAACGGG